rnacentral:sRNA from 1 species
AUGAAAAGUUUCAAAUUGAUAGCACAGCUAUAGUACAGGCAAUUGUAGCGCUAGCUUCCCUACAUUGCCCAUCGAUGGGCUUCAGCCCUGGUCUGGAGGGACCACCUCUAAGAAUGGCAGGGUAGAUCAGUCCUUGGCCCCA